AUCCCAAUACCGGUGGAAAAGAAACUAACCAGGAUUCCCCUAGUAACGGCGAGUGAACAGGGAUUAGCCCAGCACCGAAGUCUGCGUCCGUUUGGGCGUUAGACAAUGUGGUGUUUAGGUUGGUGUUUUCGAAUGUUGCUCUGUUUAAAGUCCAUUCUUGAAUAUGGCUAAUAGUUUGGCCCAGAGAGGGUGAAAGGCCCGUGUGGACAGAGCGAUGUUUGACUGUGCUAACCAUGGAGUCGGGUUGUUUGAGAAUGCAGCCCAAAGUUGGUGGUAAACUCCAUCUAAGGCUAAAUACUGGCACGAGUCCGAUAGCGAACAAGUACCGUGAGGGAAAGUUGAAAAGUACUCUGAAGAGAGAGUUAACAGUGCGUGAAACCGCUUAGAAGCAAACGGGUGUAGUCAAGCUGCAAGCCUUAAGAAAUAGGUUGGUCAGAAUGGCGUGAGUCUGAGCAUACAGAGCUGCCAGGUAGGUCCGACUAUAUGUCGGGUUCGGCUCGCAAGAGUCGGAUUUGUGGAGCGUUUACGCGCUGCAUGCCUGCUUGUCAGUUGCUCUACUGGCCCUCUCAAUUUCUUUUGGCGUAUGUCACGACCGUCUUCGCUGUCGGUCUGCUCCAUUUAAACCGUUUCGUGAGUAGUUUCGUGCUGCUUGCGUUCUGGGGGCAGGUAGCUGAUCUAGUCUCGGCUGGAUUGGUGUAAUUGCUGAGUGGAGUGGUACCUGUAACUGUGCAGUAAGAUGGGGCUGGCGGUGCAUUGUUGCCGGGCGUGCGUGUGUUGUCGUGGUUGGCGUAUGGCUAUCUGUUGCUGUUAAUAACGGCCUGGUGGUUGCCCGACUGCGGUGUCAUUCGUUACGUUUGGUCAAUCUUUGCGUUGUGCCUAUAGUCUGUGGCGUAGUGGUAGACGAUCCACCCGA
rnacentral:rRNA from 1 species